AUUGAACGCUGGCGGCAGGCUUAACACAUGCAAGUCGAGCGGAGUGAUGGUGCUUGCACUAUCACUUAGCGGCGGACGGGUGAGUAAUGCUUAGGAAUCUGCCUAUUAGUGGGGGACAACAUCUCGAAAGGGAUGCUAAUACCGCAUACGUCCUACGGGAGAAAGCAGGGGAUCACUUGUGACCUUGCGCUAAUAGAUGAGCCUAAGUCGGAUUAGCUAGUUGGUGGGGUAAAGGCCUACCAAGGCGACGAUCUGUAGCGGGUCUGAGAGGAUGAUCCGCCACACUGGGACUGGGACACGGCCCAGAAGCCUACGGGAGGGAGCAGUGGGGAAAAUUGGACAAUGGGGGGAACCCUGAUCCAGCCAUGCCGCGUGUGUGAAGAAGGCCUUAUGGUUGUAAAGCACUUUAAGCGAGGAGGAGGCUUACCUAGUUAAUACCUGGGAUAAGUGGACGUUACUCGCAGAAUAAGCACCGGCUAACUCUGUGCCAGCAGCCGCCGUAAUAC
rnacentral:rRNA from 1 species